rnacentral:rRNA from 1 species
UACGGGGGGGAGCAAGCGUUGUUCGGAUUUACUGGGCGUAAAGGGCGCGUAGGCGGCCUUCUAAGUCGAACGUGAAAUCCCCGGGCUCAACCCGGGAACUGCGUCCGAUACUGGAAGGCUUGAAUCCGGGAGAGGGAUGCGGAAUUCCAGGUGUAGCGGUGAAAUGCGUAGAUAUCUGGAGGAACACCGGUGGCGAAGGCGGCAUCCUGGACCGGUAUUGACGCUGAGGCGCGAAAGCCAGGGGAGCAAACGGG